AGACCUGAGCUGCGGGGACAGGAGCAGUGGCCUAUCAUCUCUCCCUGGUGUCUCUGCUAUUGAAAACACUUGUCCUGAAGAUGGGGACCACCUGAAGAGAUGCCUAGGGAACAGACUCCCCUUAAAAUUUGACAAGGAUAUAUUCUGGGACCUAGGGAGCACAGACCAAGUGGGGCUAGCGUUCUCACAGAAGGACAUCGAGGUGUCUGGGAAAGAGACUUUGGCAGGUCCAGCUGUAUUCGAGCUUGGAGAUUCAGACUCAAGCUCCCAUACUUGUGUGGCAAGCGCCGUAUCUGCU
ensembl:antisense Gm15935 predicted gene 15935